rnacentral:lncRNA from 1 species
UCUUGUUAAAAUCUCCGCAUAGUCUUGGGUCAACUGCUUCAAGUAGCUUUCCUUCACCAUAGAGCUCCCAAACCCACUGCACCAUGGACACUCGAUCUUCAUUACUGGCCUUUGGGUUGAUAGGUUUUCUUCCACAAGCUAUCUCCAAUGCAACAAUUCCAAAACUGUAAACAUCUGACUCUCUGCUAGCCUUGCCUGUCAUUGCACACUCUGGAGCCAUGUAGCCCAUAGUCCCUGCCAAAACUGUUGUUUGAGAACCUUUUCCAUGGUCCACAAGCCUAGCCAAACCAAAAUCCCCAAGCUUAGCAUUGAAUUCUGAGUCCAAAAUAAUGUUGCUAGACUUUAUAUCUCUAUGCACCACACAUUGUUCCCAUUCUUCAUGCAAGUACAACAGCCCCGAUGCCAAGCCUUGCACGAUUUUGUACCUCACCUCCCAUGUCAACAAGCUAGUUUCUUUGAAAAGAUGGGAGUCUAAGCUGCCAUGAGACAUGAAUUCGUAAACAAGUAAAAGCUCCUUUCUUUCAUGACACCAACCAAUGAGUUGGACUAAGUUUCUGUGCCUCAAUCGGCUAAUGAUCUUUACCUCUGCUGCAUAUUCUUUAAUCCCUUGUUUAGAACCUCUUGAUACUCUCUUCACCGCAACGAAUGAAUCAAUGUCCUUCAAAAAACCUUUAUAGACACCACCGAACCCACCCUCACCUAGCUUCUCUUCAUCCUUGAAGUUACUUGUAGCUCGAGCCAAUUCUUGGUAAGAGAACUUCUUUGGUCCUGUUCCCCUUUCAAAUUCUUCAUCCAUGUACUCUUCAACGACAUGACCACCUUCUUCAUCUUCUUCGUGCCCACACAUAAACUUAAUAACAAACCCAACCAAAGCGGCCCCAACAACUAUAGCACCACCCCCAACACCCAAUCCAACUGCCAGUCCUGUCCUGUUCUUUUUCCGAUUCCUACGUGAACCACCAUUUGGCGGAGAAGCUGCAGCUGGAUCUAAUGUAUUGGUAUCUGGAUCUAUUGGAUUGGUAACAUUAUCAUCAAUUUCUAAUCUUGAACUAAAAUCCCACGAGUAAAGGGUAUGUAGGGCAGAUGCACUUCCUGUUGAAGCCGAAAAGCCAAAACUAACUCUUUCUGGUAGGUAAUCCCUCAAGCUAACUAUUUGACUAAGGAAUUGCAUUUCUACAGUGUUAUUUCUAUAACCGGUGAAGGCGACACUCAGAUUAUGUGUACUUGAACUAUAACUAAUCCAAGCGUCAGUUUUUAUCCCUCCACUAAUAUUACACAGCCAAGUAAUAUUAUUUACAGAUUGCAUAGAGUUGAUGUCAAUACCUACAUGCUCGCCUGGUGGAUCAAAAUAAUUUUUGUAGAUAUCGAACUCCACAGCAACAAAAUGAUUAUCCGUUGUGUUUAGUUGCUGAUCAUUCCUUGUAAGACCUAGACUUCGACCUUGAGAGAGAUUAGGCGGAAGCUUUGAUCCUUCUGGCGCAAGAAAGAAAGCCAAUCCAUCUCCGUAUGCACGUCGACCUUGCGAAUCGAUGGAAAAAGAGAAAUGGGUGGUGAAGUCUGUAAGAUUCCCUGAGGCCUUGUCCCAAAGCUGCAUCGGUUUGUAAUACGUGGCUCGACCGAAAAUUAAACUCAUAUUAGCAUUUCUUAGAUUUUUGGUGAGCUGAACAGCUCCUUCUGCGGGCUAUGCGUCCUGCUCGUAUGAAAUGUUUCGGUCGCCAACAAUGAAGCUGGUGAAGUUGAAAGAUAAUCCACUCGCAGAAGGGAUUAUUAGUGUGAAGAAAGUUGAGAAAACAAAAGGAAGAAAUGGAACAGGAAGCUUUCCCAUGAAGGAAGUUGAAAUUGUAGUGCUGCAAUGCUUGGGGGUUAGGAAAAUUGCACAAUUUCUUUGGUUAAUAAGGGCGGGUAUAAGUGUGUCUGUGGCGUUACUUUGCACGGUAAUGAAAUGUUUAUUUCCAACCACUGCAUGGACCUAAAAGACUUGUUCUUGCUGUGGGCUGAAGUGGGAGCCUGUGUUCAUUAGCAUUAGUUUAAGAGUUGUAGGACUUUCAAGAUAGGCUGCCGUUUGAAUUACUUGAAACCUUCUUGGCAAUUCACUUGUCUCUGCCGCCUCUGCAGUGUGAACCAAGUCAUUAAUUAAUAAUUUCUUUGUUUGGUUUGUAAAUAAAAAAAAUAAAAUUUAUUCAACGUUGAAAAGAAAUAUUAUUUUUUAAGUGUUUAUAAUUAUAUGUUCUUACGUAAAUUAAAUGAAAAAAAUCACAUGAACUCUUCAAAUCUGCUUCCUAAUCCUAUUAUAUAAAUAUUUAUAAUAUUAAAAUAAAAUAUUUGGCACUUUUGAUAUUAUAAUUAUAUCUAUUAAAUUAAUUCUUUUUUGAACUUAUUUAUUUUAAUUUUCCUAAUUAAUUUUAAUAUUUAUAAUUGUCGGGAUAAAAUUAAAUAAACAAUUAUUUAAUUUAAUUUAAGAUAUAAUUAUUUUUUAAACAGUCAUAUAAUUUUAUUAACAAUCAUAAUAUUUUAUUAUAAUGUUUUAAAUUUAUAUGAACAUGUUAUUACACAGAAAAAAAUAUAUACAAAACAAAUAUAUUUUCUUUUUUUUUUCUUAUUCUUUCAAAGAUUUAGAAGGUUUAGUUGUAUCUUAAAAGUGUUGUAUCUGUAUGAGACAAAUAAAUAUUUUAAAAACAGUGUUUUCACACCUCACAACCAGCUUUAUAUUUGUUUCCAUUCAAAAAAAAAAAAGAAGGGGUUUACUUUACCUAAAAAAAAAAAAAAAAAAAAACCUAAAAGAAGAAGGGGUUUUACUUUACCUCUUUUCACAUUACUCUAUUCAUUUAAAUACUGUUUUCUCUCUCUAAUUUGUGUUUUUUUUCAAUUUUAAUUUUAUUUUUUAACAUUAUAUUUAUAAGAGAUUGUGCUUCAUAAUUUUUUUUAAUUCAUUUUUUAUAAAGUUAUCUCAGAUCCAUGAUCCGGACCGCAGGUUUGACUGGUUAACUCUAUUGACUUGACUUUUUUUUUUCUUUUUCUAAUUAGCGUUUUUUUGUCAAUUUUAUCAUUUAACAUUAGGUUAACUAAAAAUUAGAUUUCACUAUUUGUUUCGGUUUAGUUUCGAUGAUGUUAUCUUCAUCUUAUGACUCGAGUCACAAGGUUGUCGAGUUAAUCCUGGUUUACUUGAAUUGUUUUUUUGUGUUUUUUUUAAUUGAUUUUUUUUUUAAUUUUUUUUUCAACACUAAGUUAAUUGGGAAUUAAGUUUCAUAUUUAUCUCAAUUUUAUUUUUAUUAUGUUAUCCUGGUCUCAUAACUCGAAUCACUAGUUUAACAGGAGUUGACUCGGGUUAUUUGUUUGAUAUUUUUUUUAUUGAUUUUUUUUUCAAUUUUUUCCUUCAAUAUUGAGAUUAUUGAAAAUUAAGUUUCAUAAUUUAUUUUGAUUCGCUUUCUAUAGGGUUGUCUCAAUUUUUAUUAAAAAAAUCACAUCUUAAAUAUUUAUUUUGAGUGAAAUUGUAUUUUUACUUGUCAUUUAGAUUGUCUUUUUAGAUCCGCUAAGAUGAUCGAGUCAUAUUAAAUCAAUUUCUACAUAAUCUUUUUUAAAAAAUGUAAUAUAAAAAAAUAUGAGCAAUAAACAGAACAAUUUUUUUACAUUAAAAAAAUAUCCUACCCGUACAGUGUAUGUGUCAAAUGAUCUAGUGACGCACUGAAUUAUUGUUCUGGGGAAAAAACUAAACAGAUAUACUUACUAGAAAGAAAGGAGACCCACGGCAGAAGUAGAGCAGCACCUGCAAAGCUAGGAACGAACAUUUUUAGAGAGAACAACAAAAUAGAGAAGCACUUGAAGACACAAAAUAACACAGUAUAAGUGUAGCAAAAGGUUAGUAAAGUGUUGUCCUGCUCGCUACAAACAGGAAAUCAGAAAUGAUUAAUACAGAAUAGCUAAUAUCCAUUGUUAGGAGGAGGUUGCCAGUUCUCUCUAAAACUACUCCUAGGCAAUGAAGAAAAUGUCAUAAUAUGGGUACAUGUAAUGCAGCUACUCAAACCAAUUCGUGUAUUUUAUCAGGCAUUCUCCAACGAUUACUGUUAUCAAUUAGCCUAACCCAGUUUUUAUCCAACAAUAUUAUUGCUUCUUUUAAGGUUUGUUUUCGAUUAUUCAACAUCAUCCAAGUUCUUACAGAACAAUGAUGGGCUGCAUUUCAUUAUGUACCAGCCUAUUACGAAUGUUGAGAUUUUUGUUUCGAACUGAUGGUAGAAUUCAACAGUAUCUAAAGUUCAUCAUCCACGGCAUUAUCACCGAGAUAACCUUUCAAUCUCCCCUCUAUAUCUCCUUCUCGCUAACUCAGGAAGUAUUAUAGAAGCACCUGUUACAACACCAAAAACGAAGUUACUGUUACAAAUAAAAGUAAGAUGAUUGAUUAUCUUGUGCAGAAUAUGAAUGGAGUUGGAACUGUGAUUAGUGAACAUUUAUGCAGGGACUGCUUUAGUCCCAAACUGUUUUACUGAAUUUUCCAGAACUUUCAAAACUAUGUUUCUUUGCAUUACUAAAAAAAUUAAGAGAAAAAAACCUAUAAUAAGGCAGGACAAUUUUGAAAUAAUUAAACAAUUUCCAUUAACUGUUCAAAGUUGACAGCUAGCUUCAACAGGAAAAAUAAAAGACGAAGCUGGAAUUAUCCAGAACUAGAGUANNNNNNNNNNNNNNNNNNNNNNNNNNNNNNNNNNNNNNNNNNNNNNNNNNNNNNNNNNNNNNNNNNNNNNNNNNNNNNNNNNNNNNNNNNNNNNNNNNNNCACUUAAUUAUUGGCUUAAAGGGGUCACCUGAUGGGAAGUCCUACAAAUUCUGAGCUAAAGGUUCUUCCAAUACUCAUAGGAGGCUAUUUUUUUUUCAGGGUAACCAACUUCUAAACAAAGUUUUAUCACAUAUAUAUGACUAGAGAAGAUAGAAAGUAUCUUUCUAACCUAUGAAUUUAACACACGCUGGUACCUUGAAGAGAUAAUGCUCCAAAUAUUAUGCACAAAAUAUAGACAAGGUAAUCCUUACCAGGAUCUUUCUCCGAUGGCUUCAAUAUAAAGGUGUUACCGCAUGUUACGGCAACAGGGAACAUCUGCAGCCAAAAAGGAGCACACAUUUUUAUUUUAUUUUUCUCUGGAAACUCAAGAUUUGCUCACAACCAGAAAAGCUUUAAAUGUUUGUACACUUGUGAAACAUGAUCAACUUCAAGAUGAAGCUAGAAGUUGGCCCAGUUAACUGCAUCCUUUCAUCUUAAGAAAAAGAUUUAAGUUACAUCUUUGUAAUAAUGAUAUAGCAGGCAUCCCAAUAUGCAUGGACAGAAAAAAUUGCGAAGAAGAAUACUGAAGGCUUACCCAUAAGGGAAUCAUUGCUGGAAAGUUGAAAGGGCAAAUCCCAGCACAUACACCAAGUGGCUCUCUGAUGCUAAAGGUAUCAAUUCCAUUUGACACAUUAGGGACAUACUCACCCAUCUGCAAAGUCGCCAUUCCACAAGCAUGUUCCACCACCUCUAUAAGCGAAAAAAAAUCAAAUUGAGAGAGCAUAUAUGCAAUCAACUACAAUUUUGAACCAAAAGAGACUUUAGGAAGAGUAAAUAAAAAAAGAAGAAGACUAACCUAGCCCACGGAACACAUCUCCAUGAGCAUCCUUCAAGGUCUUCCCCUGUUCAGUAGUUAUAUUCAUCGCAAGCUUAUCCUAGAACAAGAUCACAGUAAUUCUAACCAUCAAACGAAACCUAUUAAAAAAUAAUACAGAUAAAAAGCAACAAUGACGAAAAAUUCUAGCAUGCUUACAAUGUCUCUACGAAUAAGCUCUUGGAGCUUGAGCAUGACACGCUGACGAGUCGUAAUUGGCGUGUUACGCCACGCCGGAAAAGCCUGCUUUGCUGCAGAGACUGCAGCUCUGAACUCUUCGUUCGUAGUCAAAGGAACCGGUGACACGGCUUCUUGUGUUGCCUAACCCCAUAUACCAAUCCAUUAAACCCAAAACAACUUUCAAUCAUCACUAAAAACAAAGAAAAACAUAGUAACAAUAAUAAUAUAUACUCACAGGAUUUAUCACAUCAAUGGUUGAAGAUGAUUGCGAAUCAACGAAUUUUCCUCCAAUAAGAUUGGGGACUCUCUGAUACAGCACACAAACUUGUAAGAAAUUAUAAAAGUGAAGAAAAGUUUCUCGAGUUUUUGAAGAACUUCCUGAGAAACCAAACAGACCAUAAAGCACCGAACAUAUGCGUGUGUACGUAUAGAUUUAUAAUGGGUAUAUUACCGGAGGGCUAGGUAGGCUUGAAGAAGGCUCAGCUGCACCAGUAGAGAAACAAUAAGAGCUUCUUAAAGCAAAGAUCGAAGGCUUCAAGGCCUUUAGAUUUCUCGCUGAAACACCAAAAGAAAAGGAAUCAAAAUAAAUCAAUUUUGUAACAAAUGAAAUAAAACAGAUGAUUGAUGAUUAGUUACGCGCAAGUUGCUUACCUCGUCGAAUCGAGGAUCGAAGAAGCAACAUCGUUUUUCUUUUUGUUUCUACUUGCUUUGAUUCAGUGACUCUUUGACGACACUGUUUUUAGUUUAGGCGAAAUGUUUGUUUCUUCAAGAGGAUGUUACAUAGGCAUACCUGCAAAGAAAUGAGGGGGGGGGGGGGGGGGGUCCCGGCCCCUGCAAAGAAAUUCCCCUCCCUUGUAAAUAUUUAAUAUAAAUAAUAAUAAUAAAAAUUUAAUCCUUUUAAUUUAUAAUUUGGCCCCCUAAUUUUUUUGUCUUGCUCCGCGGUAUAACCCUCUUUUAAAUGCAUGCCCACUUGUUAUACUGUGAGAGUGAUUAGUGUUAUGACUACAUUUUUCUCCGGCAAAUUAAAUCAUGCUAAUCUUAAAAAACAGUCAUAUCAUGACGAAUAAAAUUUUUAAUUAUAAAAAAUUAAAAAAAUAAUAAAUACUAAAUUGGUAUAAAAACCAAUGAAAAAAAUAACAAAUGAUUAAAUUGAAAAAUAAUUAAUAAUAAAUACUAGUGUUAUGACUAGAUUUUUCUUCCGCAAGUUAAACCUUGCUAAUCUUGAAAAAUAGUGAAAUCAUGACAAACAAAAUUUUUUAUCAUGAAAAAUUAAAAAUAUAAUAGUAAUUAAAAUAAUAAAUAUCAAAUUUAUUAUAAAAACCAAUAAAAAAUAACAAGGAAUUAAAUUGAAAAAUUAAAAAAAUUAAAAUUAAAAUUAAAUAAAAAAUAAAUGAAAUAAAAUGUUAAGAAAUAAAAUUAUAAAAUGUGGUUGACAUGAUAAUGAGAAGUGUACAAAAUAUUUUAAUAAGUGGAAGGGCUAAGAUUUAGCAGUUGAGCCGGGUGGCUAAUUUAUAAAUCUUAAACUGUUCAAUUGGACAUGAAUUUGUACUCAGUUUCAAAGAAAAUCAAUUUCAGAAAAGACGUGAAAAUUGAUCAGUACAAUAAAAGGGGCAAAAUUAAAUGUUUUAACUGGAUAAGAAUCUCAAAUUAAUUACACUGGUCAUCAAUUUAGCCUUCGUGUGGAAGCAUGGCAGAUGCAGAAGAUGCUGAAGAAGAUGUGGUGAACUGGGAAGAAUUAGUGUUGUAACUGUAACUUGAAGAUUUGUUCAUCCCUCCUUCAGAAUCUGCAAGGCCAUAGGACAUUAUUGAAAGUGAAGAUGCAGGUAUUGGCGGGGCGAAAUAUGACGGCACGGGCAUCUUUGAUGGGAGAAUAGGCAAUGGAGCAUCAAAAUUAAGUAUGUGAAGUGAUUGCCGAAUUGAGGGUCUAAGAUGUUCAUCCGGAUGAGCACACGAAAGCCCGACGAUCAUCAAGCGUUCCAUCUGCGUCUUAUUAAAAUCUCCGCAUAGUCUUGGGUCAACUGCUUCAAGUAGCUUCCCUUCACCAUAGAGCUCCCAAACCCACUGCACCAUGGACACUAGAUCUUCAUUACUGGCCUUUGGGUUGAUAGGUUUUCUUCCACAAGCUAUCUCCAAUGCAACAAUUCCAAAACUGUAAACAUCUGACUCUCUGCUAGCCUUGCCUGUCAUUGCACACUCUGGAGCCAUGUAGCCCAUAGUCCCUGCCAAAACUGU